AUGCUUCCUUUAACAGCAAAUAUGCUAAGACUAGAACAAAACAAAAGACAAGCAUGGCCCCCUGCACAAGGAUGACGAGCAAACUGUAAGACUUUGCAGUAGCUUUA